rnacentral:rRNA from 1 species
UACGUAGGUGGCGAGCGUUGUCCGGAAUUAUUGGGCGUAAAGAGCGUGUAGGUGGGAUAGUAAGUCUCAUGUAAAAGUGCGGGGCUCAACCCCGUAGAGCGUGAGAAACUGGUAUUCUUGAGUGCCGGAGAGGAAAGCGGAAUUCCCAGUGUAGCGGUGAAAUGCGUAGAUAUUGGGAGGAACACCAGUGGCGAAGGCGGCUUUCUGGACGGUGUCUGACACUGAGGCGCGAAAGCCAGGGGAGC